rfam:Erinaceus europaeus unplaced genomic scaffold scaffold00545, whole genome shotgun sequence
UUAUAAUGGUGUUGAUCAAAUGUCUGACCUGAAAAUUGGUGAAGAGCAACAAAGAAAUUACUAAACUA